rnacentral:rRNA from 15 species
UAAGGCGAGGCCGACAGGCGUAGUCGAUGGACAACGGGUUGAUAUUCCCGUACCGGCGAAGAACCGCCCAAGCUAAUCCAGUGGUGCUAAGAGUCCUAACCCGGCUGAGUGGAUCCCUUCGGGGUGAUGCCGGCCGGUCUAACGCUCGACCCCAUGCUGGUGCGGUUAGCGUAUUAACAGGUGUGACGCAGGAAGGUAGCUGAGCCAGGCGAUGGUAUCCGUAAGGUGAACCUGGUGUAAGGAUGUAGGGCUGACGAUAGGCAAAUCCGUCGUCAAUGUGCCUGAGACCCGAUGCGUACCCCGAUUGGGGGAAAUCAGUGAUCCUAUGCUGCCGAGAAAAGCAUCGACGCGAGGUUCAAGCCGCCCGUACCCCAAACCGACUCAGGUGGUCAGGUAGAGAAUACCAAGGCGCUUGAGAGAACUCGGGUGAAGGAACUAGGCAAAAUGGCACCGUAACUUCGGGAGAAGGUGCGCCGGUGAGGGUGAAGGACUUGCUCCGUAAGCUCAUGCCGGUCGAAGAUACCAGGCCGCUGCGACUGUUUAUUAAAAACACAGCACUCUGCAAACACGAAAGUGGACGUAUAGGGUGUGACGCCUGCCCGGUGCCGGAAGGUUAAUUGAUGGGGUUAGCUAACGCGAAGCUCUUGAUCGAAGCCCCGGUAAACGGCGGCCGUAACAAUAACGGUCCUAAGGUAGCGAAAUUCCUUGUCGG